rfam:TPA: Bos taurus chromosome 8, whole genome shotgun sequence.
UAGCUCAGUUGGUAAAGAAUCUGCCUGCAAUGCAGGAGACCCAGGUUCAAUCCCUGG